CAGAUAUUUAAUGUCUUGGGAUGCCGGUGGAAUUGAUUACCUAAACCUGAAUUGCCACAAUACUUUAUCCGACUCAUGUAUCUCCAUCGUAGUGUACACUACCAAUAGUACAUUCAUGUGCCAGAUGUUGGGAUUCACCAAGAAUUCGGACAAGAUGCAUUCUUGAAUUGCAGGAUCAGAGUAUGAAGUCCAUUCAAACUAUAUUAAAAUAAUAAAAAUUUUAUUUAUACAUGUUAUUAAUUUUUAAAUAAACUACGUUAAUAUUAUAUAAUUCAAAUUUUAAAAAAUACAUACAUCUGCUUUCGAUUGUUGGUCUAACAGAAGCUGUAUAUCUCGAAGCUAAUCCAGUAGUCCCACG
rnacentral:lncRNA from 1 species